rnacentral:rRNA from 1 species
CGGACGGGUGAGUAAUGCUUGGGAAUAUGCCUUUAGUGGGGGACAACAGUUGGAAACGACUGCUAAUACCGCAUAAUGUCUACGGACCAAAGGGGGGGAUCUUCGGACCUCUCGUCUAUAGAUUAGCCCAAGUGAGAUUAGCUAGUUGGUGAGGUAAAGGCUCACCAAGGCGACGAUCUCUAGCUGGUUUGAGAGGAUGAUCAGCCACACUGGGACUGAGACACGGCCCAG